rnacentral:rRNA from 1 species
GACGAACGCUGGCGGCGUGCCUAAUACAUGCAAGUUGAGCGCUGAAGGUUGGUACUUGUACCAACUGGAUGAGCAGCGAACGGGUGAGUAACGCGUGGGGAAUCUGCCUUUGAGCGGGGGACAACAUUUGGAAACGAAUGCUAAUACCGCAUAAAAACUUUAAACACAAGUUUUAAGUUUGAAAGAUGCAAUUGCAUCACUCAAAGAUGAUCCCGCGUUGUAUUAGCUAGUUGGUGAGGUAAAGGCUCACCAAGGCGAUGAUACAUAGCCGACCUGAGAGGGUGGUCGGCCGCAUUGGGACUGAGACACGGCCCAAACUCCUACGGGAGGCAGCAGUAGGGAAUCGUCGGCAAUGGGCGAAAGUCUGACCGAGCAACGCCGCGUGAGUGAAGAGGGUUUUCGGAUCGUAAAACUCUGUUGGUAGAGAAGAACGUUGGUGAGAGUGGAAAGCUCAUCAAGUGACGGUAACUACCCAGAAAGGGACGGCUAACUACGUG